rnacentral:rRNA from 1 species
UACGGGGGGGGGCAAGCGUUGUUCGGAAUUACUGGGCGUAAAGGGCUUGUAGGCGGCCAACUAAGUCCGACGUGAAAUCCCCAGGCUUAACCUGGGAACUGCGUCGGAUACUGGAUGGCUUGAGUUUGGGAGAGGGAUGCAGAAUUCCAGGUGUAGCGGUGAAAUGCGUAGAUAUCUGGAGGAAUACCGGUGGCGAAGGCGGCAUCCUGGACCGGCAUUGACGCUGAGGAGCGAAAGCCAGGGGAGCAAAGCGGG